GACGAACGCUGGCGGCGUGCCUAAUACAUGCAAGUAGAACGCUGAAGCUUGGUGCUUGCACCGAGCGGAUGAGUUGCGAACGGGUGAGUAACGCGUAGGUAACCUGCCUGGUAGCGGGGGAUAACUAUUGGAAACGAUAGCUAAUACCGCAUAAGAGUAGAUGUUGCAUGACAUUUGCUUAAAAGGUGCAAUUGCAUCACUACCAGAUGGACCUGCGUUGUAUUAGCUAGUUGGUGAGGUAACGGCUCACCAAGGCAACGAUACAUAGCCGACCUGAGAGGGUGAUCGGCCACACUGGGACUGAGACACGGCCCAGACUCCUACGGGAGGCAGCAGUAGGAAAUCUUCGGCAAUGGACGGAAGUCUGACCGAGCAACGCCGCGUGAGUGAAGAAGGUUUUCGGAUCGUAAAGCUCUGUUGUAAGAAAAGAACGAGUGUGAGAGUGGAAAGUUCACACUGUGACGGUAUCUUACCAGAAAGGGACGGCUAACUACGUG
rnacentral:rRNA from 1 species